rnacentral:ncRNA from 1 species
CUAUGACUAAUUAUUGUCAUGGCGGAAGGAG